AUUGAACGCUGGCGGCAUGCCUUACACAUGCAAGUCGAACGGCAGCACGGGAGUAAUCCUGGUGGCGAGUGGCGAACGGGUGAGUAAUAUAUCGGAACGUGCCCAGGCGUGGGGGAUAACGCAGCGAAAGCUGUGCUAAUACCGCAUACGAUCUACGGAGGAAAGCGGGGGAUCGGAAGACUGCGCGCGAUUGGAUCGGGCGAUAUCAGAUUAGGUAGUUGGUGGGGUAAAGGCCCACCAAGGCGACGAUCUGUAGCUGGUCUGAGAGGACGACCAGCAACACUGGAACUGAGACACGGUCCAGACUCCUACGGGAGGCAGCAGUGGGGAAUUUUGGACAAUGGGCGCAAGCCUGAUCCAGCAAUGCCGCGUGCAGGAUGAAGGCCUUCGGGUUGUAAACUGCUUUUGUACGGAACGAAACGGCCCUUUCUAAUACAGGGGGCUAAUGACGGUACCGUAAGAAUAAGCACCGGCUAACUACGUGCCAGCCGCCGCCGUAA
rnacentral:rRNA from 1 species